rnacentral:rRNA from 1 species
CCUACGGGGGGCUGCAGUGAGGAAUAUUGGUCAAUGGGCGAAAGCCUGAUGGAGUAACGCCGCGUGCAGGAUGACUGCCCUACGGGUUGUAAACUUCUUUUAUAAAGGAAUAAAGUGAGGCACGUGUGCCUUUUUGUAUGUACUUUAUGAAUAAGGAUCGGCUAACUCCGUGCCAGCAGCCGCGGUAAUACGGAGGAUCCGAGCGUUAUCCGGAUUUAUUGGGUUUAAGGGGAGCGUAGAUGGGUUGUUAAGUCAGUUGUGAAAGUUUGCGGCUCAACCGUAAAAUUGCAAUUGAUACUGGCAGUCUUGAGUACAGUUGAGGUAGGCGGAAUUCGUGGUGUAGCGGUGAAAUGCUUAGAUAUCACGAAGAACCCCGAUUGCGAAGGCAGCUUACUAAACUGUGACUGACAUUGAUGCUCGAAAGUGUGGGUAUCAAACAGGAUUAGAUACCCCAGUAGUC